rnacentral:rRNA from 1 species
GCGAAAACUUUACAAUGCUGGCAACAGCGAUAAGGGAACCUCGAGUGCCAGGUUACAAAUCUGGCUGUCGAGAUGCCUAAAAAGCAUUUCAUAGCAAGGGCCGGGCAAGACCGGAGCCAGCCGCCGCGGUAACACCGGCGGCUCGAGUGGUAACCGUUAUUAUUGGGUCUAAAGGGUCUGUAGCCGGCCGGAUAAGUCUCUUGAGAAAUCUGGCAGCUUAACUGUCAGGCUUUCAGGAGAUACUGUCUGGCUCGAGGCCGGGAGAGGUGAGAGGUACUUCAGGGGUAGGGGUGAAAUCUUGUAAUCCUUGAAGGACCACCAGUGGCGAAGGCGUCUCACCGGAACGGACCUGACGGGAAGGGACGAAAGCUAGGGGCACGAACC